ACUAAGCGUACACGGUGGAUGCCCUGGCAGUCAGAGGCGAUGAAGGGCGUGCUAAUCUGCGAUAAGCGCCGGUAAGGUGAUAUGAACCGUUAUAACCGGCGAUACCCGAAUGGGGAAACCCAGUGUGACUCGUCACACUAUCAUUAACUGAAUCCAUAGGUUAAUGAGGCGAACCGGGGGAACUGAAACAUCUAAGUACCCCGAGGAAAAGAAAUCAACCGAGAUUCCCCCAGUAGCGGCGAGCGAACGGGGAGGAGCCCAGAGCCUGAAUCAGCAUGUGUGUUAGUGGAAGCGUCUGGAAAGGCGCGCGAUACAGGGUGACAGCCCCGUACACAAAAGCGCAUGUGCUGUGAGCUCGAUGAGUAGGGCGGGACACGUGGUAUCCUGUCUGAAUAUGGGGGGACCAUCCUCCAAGGCUAAAUACUCCUGACUGACCGAUAGUGAACCAGUACCGUGAGGGAAAGGCGAAAAGAACCCCGGCGAGGGGAGUGAAAAAGAACCUGAAACCGUGUACGUACAAGCAGUGGGAGCCCCACCACCAAAGCGUUUCGCUUUGUGUGGUGCACAAAGAAGCGUAACGACAGCACUGAAUGACGGUUAACGGAGCGCAAGCGACGUUCAACAUACAAAGUCAAGCAGUGGAGCGCUUUGGGGUGGGGUGACUGCGUACCUUUUGUAUAAUGGGUCAGCGACUUAUAUUCUGUAGCAAGGUUAACCGAAUAGGGGAGCCGGAGGGAAACCGAGUCUUAACCGGGCGUUAAGUUGCAGGGUAUAGACCCGAAACCCGGUGAUCUAGCCAUGGGCAGGUUGAAGGUUGGGUAACACUAACUGGAGGACCGAACCGACUAAUGUUGAAAAAUUAGCGGAUGACCUGUGGCUGGGGGUGAAAGGCCAAUCAAACCGGGAGAUAGCUGGUUCUCCCCGAAAGCUAUUUAGGUAGCGCCUCGUGAAUUCAUCUCCGGGGGUAGAGCACUGUUUCGGCUAGGGGGCCAUCCCGGCUUACCAACCCGAUGCAAACUGCGAAUACCGGAGAAUGUUAUCACGGGAGACACACGGCGGGUGCUAACGUCCGUCGUGAAGAGGGAAACAACCCAGACCGCCAGCUAAGGUCCCAAAGUCAUGGUUAAGUGGGAAACGAUGUGGGAAGGCCCAGACAGCCAGGAUGUUGGCUUAGAAGCAGCCAUCAUUUAAAGAAAGCGUAAUAGCUCACUGGUCGAGUCGGCCUGCGCGGAAGAUGUAACGGGGCUAAACCAUGCACCGAAGCUGCGGCAGCGACGCUUAUGCGUUGUUGGGUAGGGGAGCGUUCUGUAAGCCUGUGAAGGUGGCCUGUGAGGGUUGCUGGAGGUAUCAGAAGUGCGAAUGCUGACAUAAGUAACGAUAAAGCGGGUGAAAAGCCCGCUCGCCGGAAGACCAAGGGUUCCUGUCCAACGUUAAUCGGGGCAGGGUGAGUCGACCCCUAAGGCGAGGCCGAAAGGCGUAGUCGAUGGGAAACGGGUUAAUAUUCCCGUACUUGGUGUUACUGCGAAGGGGGGACGGAGAAGGCUAUGUUGGCCGGGCGACGGUUGUCCCGGUUUAAGCGUGUAGGUGUGUGUUCCAGGUAAAUCCGGUUCACUUUAACACUGAGGCGUGAUGACGAGGCACUACGGUGCUGAAGCAACAAAUGCCCUGCUUCCAGGAAAAGCCUCUAAGCAUCAGGUAACAUCAAAUCGUACCCCAAACCGACACAGGUGGUCAGGUAGAGAAUACCAAGGCGCUUGAGAGAACUCGGGUGAAGGAACUAGGCAAAAUGGUGCCGUAACUUCGGGAGAAGGCACGCUGACACGUAGGUGAAGUGAUUUACUCAUGGAGCUGAAGUCAGUCGAAGAUACCAGCUGGCUGCAACUGUUUAUUAAAAACACAGCACUGUGCAAACACGAAAGUGGACGUAUACGGUGUGACGCCUGCCCGGUGCCGGAAGGUUAAUUGAUGGGGUCAGCGCAAGCGAAGCUCCUGAUCGAAGCCCCGGUAAACGGCGGCCGUAACUAUAACGGUCCUAAGGUAGCGAAAUUCCUUGUCGGGUAAGUUCCGACCUGCACGAAUGGCGUAAUGAUGGCCAGGCUGUCUCCACCCGAGACUCAGUGAAAUUGAACUCGCUGUGAAGAUGCAGUGUACCCGCGGCAAGACGGAAAGACCCCGUGAACCUUUACUAUAGCUUGACACUGAACAUUGAGCCUUGAUGUGUAGGAUAGGUGGGAGGCUUUGAAGCGUGGACGCCAGUCUGCGUGGAGCCGACCUUGAAAUACCACCCUUUAAUGUUUGAUGUUCUAACGUGGACCCGUAAUCCGGGUUGCGGACAGUGUCUGGUGGGUAGUUUGACUGGGGCGGUCUCCUCCUAAAGAGUAACGGAGGAGCACGAAGGUUGGCUAAUCCUGGUCGGACAUCAGGAGGUUAGUGCAAUGGCAUAAGCCAGCUUGACUGCGAGCGUGACGGCGCGAGCAGGUGCGAAAGCAGGUCAUAGUGAUCCGGUGGUUCUGAAUGGAAGGGCCAUCGCUCAACGGAUAAAAGGUACUCCGGGGAUAACAGGCUGAUACCGCCCAAGAGUUCAUAUCGACGGCGGUGUUUGGCACCUCGAUGUCGGCUCAUCACAUCCUGGGGCUGAAGUAGGUCCCAAGGGUAUGGCUGUUCGCCAUUUAAAGUGGUACGCGAGCUGGGUUUAGAACGUCGUGAGACAGUUCGGUCCCUAUCUGCCGUGGGCGCUGGAGAACUGAGGGGGGCUGCUCCUAGUACGAGAGGACCGGAGUGGACGCAUCACUGGUGUUCGGGUUGUCAUGCCAAUGGCACUGCCCGGUAGCUAAAUGCGGAAGAGAUAAGUGCUGAAAGCAUCUAAGCACGAAACUUGCCCCGAGAUGAGUUCUCCCUGAGACUUAGAGUCUCCUGAAGGAACGUUGAAGACGACGACGUUGAUAGGCCGGGUGUGUAAGCGCAGCGAUGCGUUGAGCUAACCGGUACUAAUGAACCGUGAGGCUUAACC
rnacentral:rRNA from 1 species